UCUGGCGGCUGGCCGCAGCCCGCAGCUGCCAUAUACUGUAUUGUCGCCGUGCCGUAUCGACCUCCUAUCUCAAUUCUGCAACAAAAGUCGAGUAAAGAAGUUUCAAGUUUCGGGCCGGCUCGUCUUCAAAUUUGGAGCAAGUGUGGAACGGAGUGAGUGGACACGCAUUUAUUUCCGAGAGGGAGACAAUAAUACACGUUGAAAACUGGCAAUUUUAUUCGCUCAUUGAGAACUGGUCGCUUUGUUUACCUGCUACUGUCUGCUGCGGACGGCUAAUCGGAUUAAUCGAAUAUUCGCCCAAGUGAUAAGCUCGCCAUUUGCAAAGCAAACGCAAUACCGCGCAAUACCGCACGAGAAUUCUUUUGUAAACUUAUACGAGCUGACAUUUUCAUUUCAUCAAAGAAGUCUCAAAGGAUACUGGUAUCCCACGAUUGAAAAUGGUGAAAGUAGCGCUGUGCGUUACAUGUAGACUCGACAACAUCGAGGAACUGAAGCCAUCGGGGCCUGAGUUCAGAUGGUGCCUCAAAUUCAUUUGUUGCAACUGCUCCAAUAAAUCAGAGAAGUGGAACUAUCUCUCUUUGGACGAGUCGAUGCCGUUGCAACGGGGUAACGGGGUCUGUCAUUUUAUAUGCAAGUGCAAGUUCUGCUCCCGAGAGAACUCCGUGACGAUAAUCGAGGAUUCGAUUAAGUCGUUCACCAAGGACGACGAGGGAAAAUUCAAAACGAUUGUCGUGUUUGACUGUCGGGGUAUAGAACCAGAUAACUUUUCCGCAGGGGAAGGAUGGGUGGCCAAGGCUGCGAAUGGUGGCAAGGAAUUCAAUGAUGUGGAUUUGGAUGAGGGCGAAUGGGAGGACUAUUGCGACAAGAUCAUGGAACCCGUUGGAAUAUACGAGUUUCAGCAUAGGUUCCAGAAGAUGAAGUGAAAUCGUGUUUGGAAAAUAUACCUACCUAAUGCGCAUUUCGGUCAUCAGAAUUUUAUAACAGAUAAUGGAUUUUCCAGGAGGGUUAACGAAGCAAAGCGACACAUGUCUGAUUAGAAAUAUAUGUCCUUGGACAAUGAAGUAAUAAUUGCGCACACAGAAACAUUCUUCGAGGUCCUCUCUCGUCAAGGCAAAGAGUAAAAGCAGUACCAGUCCAACGACAUAAUAUAAUUUAUUCAUAAUCAUAUAAAAAAACCAUUUUAUUUCAUAAAUGGCUUGGUACACAAGAGAUGUCGUUUGCAACAAUAAUUCCACUUUGCCUCCUAGCACGUUCGGAGUUGCCGAUUCAUACCCUGCGUGAAUAAUCGAGUGACUAGUGUCGUUUUGCGGCAAGGGCGAUGCUCGGAAAGCCAUGCGGUUUACCAAUUUGUGAAUCAAUUCGGACAACUUGCCUGUCCUCCAUCACCAACGCAAACUGCAUUCUUGGAAUGUCGAUGCGAUCGCAUAAAAAUCAUCGAACUUAUGACAACGACGCACUAAUCCCGCCUUACGAUUAUAAAAAAUUAAAAUAUUCCUUGAUUAAAAAAUUAUGUUAUAUACAGUGUCUUCUUUUUUUUUUUCACGUAUAAAACUCUCGAACAACUUCCCACUUAACGAUACUCGGCGUAUCGCGCAAAGACUUUCGAUCGGAGUAACUCUCGCAGUUCUGUCUCCACAAUAAGCUACAAACGAAAAAAUCACGAUGAAUUACGAUCGAAAAGAAAUCAUAGAGACAAUAUUUAUGAUAAUAAAUCACAAUAAAUUCAAAAGAAACGAAGAAAGGAAGAAACAAUAUGUGACUUCGUUUACUUGAUGAUUGCCUAAUGCACUAAUGCUACGCUACAUUUGUCUAAUGCUUUCGUUUACUAUGCUUUCUAAUAUCUAACACAAAUAAAUAUAUCGCGUGCGCAUUACAAUCCACCGUUCCCGGAGAAUCUUUAACGUAUUGAAUCACAUGUAAGUAACCGCUAAAAAUUUUUAAUCUAACAAUCGAUAACGCUAUCAGUCUAUUCUCACAAAAAUAUCACUAUGACCGAACAUACCGUGUCGACGAUACAACCAGAGUCCAAAAUUAUGAAAUCGAUUAAAAUUUAAUAAAUAACAUAAAUAACACAAACCUUUAAAAUCUUUAAACAAAUAUACUCUUUAUAAAGUAGAUAUAUUAACUACGUGU